AACGAACGCUGGCGGCAGGCCUAACACAUGCAAGUCGAACGCACCGCAAGGUGAGUGGCGCACGGGUGAGUAACACGUGGGAAUGUACCCUUUGGUUCGGAAUAACGUUUGGAAACGAACGCUAAUACCGGAUGAGCCCUGUGGGGGAAAGAUUUAUCGCCAAAGGAGCAGCCCGCGUCUGAUUAGCUAGUUGGUGGGGUAAAGGCCUACCAAGGCGACGAUCAGUAGCUGGUCUGAGAGGAUGAUCAGCCACACUGGGACUGAGACACGGCCCAGACUCCUACGGGAGGCAGCAGUGGGGAAUAUUGGACAAUGGGCGGAAGCCUGAUCCAGCCAUGCCGCGUGAGUGAUGAAGGCCUUCGGGUUGUAAAGCUCUUUCGCACCGCGACGAUGAUGACGGUAGCGUGAGAAGAAGCCCCGGCUAACUUCGUGCCAGCAGCCGCGGUAAU
rnacentral:rRNA from 1 species